rnacentral:misc_RNA from 1 species
AAAAAAACUGAAGAAAACACUGCAUGCAUUUUCUUUAUCAACUGAAUUAUUAAGGUAACAGCCGUUAUACUUAAUGAUAAAUAACGUCAGUUACCAUUAAGUAACCGAUAGUAACAGGGCGGUUACCGUUAAGUAACGGUGGCAACGGCUGUUACCAAUGCAACUCAAAAUCUGCCUUUAAAUAAUGAGAUAAAGGGUAACGGCCCCUUGAAAA